GCCUCGUUGGCGCAGUAGGCGGCGCAGUAGGCAGCGCGUCAGUCUCAUAAUCUGAAGGUCGUGAGUUCGAGCCUCACACGGGGCA